AUUUCUUGAUUAUCUCCCUUUCUAAAGCACGGUUUUCACAAAGGGGAAAUCAAGGAAAAGAAUGCGAAAUUUGAUCUAAAGGAUUUGUGUAUGCAGUUGGUGGCAUGUGAGAUUACUCAGCUCUUCAUACUUGUCCUUAAAACAAUGUUUGUCAUAUCAAAGACAGCAUACAGGUCUUAUUUAAGAGAAACAUCUUAUCUCUAAGAGAAUCAGUUAAAAAAUUGCUUUCACUAAUGGAUUCUUCAAUCAUAACCAAUGUAUCUAAGGGACCUUCUCCCUCCAAGGAUGAGUUGAAUCCAGUUUCUUCAAAAAGUAUUUCUCAAACACUAUCAGCUGAUCAAAUACCAUCACCUGUCUUUGAAGUGUCUUUGACUGGCCAGGAAUCUUCUCCAGAAUUGUCCAUGCAUCCAGCUGUGAUGGAAAUAAUUUCUGACAAAGAUUCUUCCUCAAAUGCUCACCAAAUUUCACCAACUAAAAUUCUACAAAAUCUAAGUUCAGCUGAAUUUACGCAACAGUCAUCUUUGUCUUCUAAUGAAAUGAGUCAGAAUUGUGUUAACUUAAUUAGAAUCACCACACCACCCCUUCAUCAACCAGUAGAACGAAAUGUCAGCCAUGCAUUAGCAGAAGAUGAAUCAACAGUGUCAGUUUUGCAGCAAGCACUUUCAUCUCAGCCAGAAAAUUCAUGGAGUGUUUCUUCCAUUAACAAUGAGUCAGUUGCAGAACGAUUGCAAAUAUCAUUAAGACAAGAGCAAGGUUUUGAUACUAAUCAGUAUCAAUUAAGAGUUCAACAAAUGAAACUAGGAGGCAAUGAGUUACCCUGGAAACCAACAGCUGUCACAGAACAAGGCAUUAAUUUAGAACAACACACUACAACUGCAUUAAUUAAUUCUGACAAAAUUUCACCAUCAUCCAUAGUUCUCCAAAAGGCCCAGGAAGACUUUUCUGUUAUCACCCAAGAUUCUGCACACAUACAGGAAGAGACUCUUCCUAUUGACGCGGUUAUCGAAACUAUUGAGGAAUAUGUUGACAGGGCUACAAGUUUGGAAUCGGAGGUAAGUGAACCACCCAAUAAAGCACCUUUGAUUACAGAACCCAUUGGUAGCCGGGUUCAACAGAAUGCAGAUUGGAAUUUUGAUGUGAAUCUUGCCUUUGAUAUGCACAUAAAAAAACACUCAGAAAAUGAGACUAUGAAAGUAGGUAAAGGUAAACCACAAGUUAUUACUGGUGUGCAGAGUGGCAAAUUUACUGUGACAUCCAAAGGAUUGGCAUCGCCAAAACAAAACAGUGUUAGCUUGAUCAGAAACAUUCCCACAUCUUCAGGGACAAGUUUGGUGGGAAGAUACCAGGAUGUCAGUACACUUGGAAUUGAAAGCAGUGAUGCUAAUCGCUGGGAGGAUCGAAAUUUGCAAUUUUCUUUAAAUCCAUAUCCUGGAAAUCUUUUGAAAGUGCAGUAUACAGAAGGUGAGAUGCAGACUGUCUUGCAGAAGGCAUCUACAGACAUGUCAACAGGACCUAAGGAGCAGAUCAUACAGCCUGUUUUAAAUACACAGCCAAUGGAACAACCACUUCACAUUCAGAAUGAAAUGCACCGCUUAGGUCUUCAUGUACAGAUUGAUAAAGCAGCUGACAGUGACAAUGUGAGGGUGGUCAAUCCUGGUCUGGGGUUCAUAGUGCCGGAACAGGACAAUGUGAGGGUGGUCAAUCCUGGUCUGGGGUUCAUAGUGCCGGAACAGAGUGCAAUAUCUCCACCAAAGGCUGUGUUUUUUGCAACAGAAGAACAAUCGAAAAACUUUGCUGCAGGUAAAGCUCCAGAAAAUACUGCUUUUUCAUCAGAUAAGAACAUCACAUCACUUGAAAAAAAUAUUGCUGCAAUGCACAGCUUUGUUCAAACAGAGCGUGCACGUCUUGACCUGGAGAGACGUGCUGGCUUAAUCACAAUUAAACCUAUCGAGGACAUUCCAAAAGAUAACAAGUCAACAAAGGUGACUGUUGGACCGACACCAGUAUCUUUGAAUUCAUCAGGAAAGGAAAAGACAGCAGUUAGCAUGCCAACUACCUCAGGUGUUGAUAGUGUAAACCCAGUGAGAAGAGAGAUUGCCCGCAUUGUUAUACUUCCAAAUCAGCUUGGAGGUAAAGCAGAAUUAAUGGUUACAGAAGCAAUGGAUGGUAAAUCAACUUCAAAAAAAUCAUUGUUGGUGCCGGUUAAAAAUAUUUAUAGAGGAAAACAACAGGAAACCACUGAUUCAGCCCAGGUGCCAGAACAAACUGCAGAAGAAGGCACUUCAAAAACACAACAGACAGGUAAAAAUCUGCAAGAAAAAACAUCUUACACCAAAGAAGAUGCAAGGAGAAAACCAGCAUUGGCUGUAAAACCACUCACUGCGUUGACUGAAGAUGAGUUAAGUGUAUUGCAAAGGCCAAAAAAGAUUACCAGAUAUUUUAAAGAAAAGGCCAAAAACGUUGUUCACCAGGGAACAAAGCAGCAGAAUGUACAAAAUACGUCACAGGAAGAACAGGAAAGCAAGGCACCUGAGAAAGGACUCUCACAAUCUAAACAAAACCUACCAAAAGAACUUCAGCAAGAAGGAUCCACAGAGAAAGAAACACAACAAUUUGUAUUGGGUGAUCCUAAUCCUACUCCGGUGAUAUUGCUUCGAAACUGUGCUGAAGUGAAGAGCGUAAAGGCAUUUACGUGUCAAGAGUGUGGGCGGGGUUUCAGCCACCUUGGGGACUACAACAGUCAUGUGAAAGCCCACAAAGAUGGAAUGCCUUUCACCUGCAAUGAGUGUGGAGUAGGUUUCAGGAAAAGUGGCCAUUUGAUCAACCAUAGUCGACGACAUACGGGUGAGAAACCAUUUGCCUGCACUUUUUGUAAUAACAAAUUCGGACAACUAGGCACUCUUAAGCGCCACCUGCGCAUUCAUACUGGGGAGAAGCCGUACGUAUGCCCCACAUGUAAUAAGAGCUUUUCCCAGCUGAGUUAUAUGAAGGUACAUAGGAGAUCUCACACAGGAGAAAGACCAUUCAAAUGUGAUAUAUGUGAACAUAGUUUUCUACAAAGUGGAGACCUGAAGAAACACAAACUGCGCAAACAUAAUGCCAAGAAAGAACUGCCAUGUCCACACUGUUCAAAGAGUUUUGGAGAUAAAAUUGACAUCAAACGACAUCUCAAAACACAUGAAGGCAAACUUGAUUGUAAAACUUGCAAUAAGAAAUUUGAAAAUAUGGAAAGUGCAAAGAUCCAUAAGCAGCUGUUCCACUCCAAAGGGAAGACAAAAGAACUGCCUCAUCGUUGUACGAUGUGUGACAUAGGAUUUAAACUAAAAGCCGACCUUCAGUCUCACAUGAGGACAUGCCAUCCACUUGAUAUCAAGAAGGAAAAACCUAACGGUAGAGGAAAAGGAAAGAAGCGAGGAAGGAAGAGGAGAAAGCAACAACAUGAGAGUGAAGAUGAAGACAGUGAUCAAGAUUUUGAAAAGGAUAUGAGUGACACACCAGAGGGAGAAGGACCUACUUUUAUUGUGAAGGAGGAGGUAGUGGAUGAAGAACAGAAAGCCAAGGAAGAAGAGGAGAAAAAGGAAACUGUAAUUAGAGGAACAAGAAAGAGGAAAGCAAGUAAAUUUCAACUGAGGAAACUUUUACCAGUAAAUCAGAAUCACCCAAAGCGUUCAAGAAGAUCAAAGAAUAAAGAGACAAAUUAGUUCUGUAAUGAAACAAGAUUGUAAUAAAAUUGCUGACCUUUGUGCUUAUGCAAAGGCACAAGUCCUAUUCACAAUCUGUCAUCAAAGUUACUUGGAUUAUGUGCUUUUUUAUGUUAAUGUUAAUUGGCCAGUAGCUUUCUUGAUUGAAAGGCUUCAAAUUCACUUGCAUAAAUUAUCCGUACUCAUAUUUAAGGGUGUAAAAUCGUGAAAUGACAACCUGUGUGGCAUAUAGAAAUAAUGUUUAGCCUGUAAUUUGCUGGAAUAAAAGGAUGUUAAAGAUGUUCAAAUAAAAAAUAUGUUACGGUGACCUAUGUAACAAUGAUAAAGGUCAUGGGUCAAAUGUUUUCUAUAAUCUUAAAACAGCAGAGGAACCAUAAAAAUCAAAUCAAUGAUAGAUUGCCUGUAGUUUGUUUGUGCUAUCAAGUAUGUAAAAGGAAAUUACAUUUCUUCAUUUUCAAGGGAACAUAUUUGUUAAUUUAUGAAAAUAUUCUAAAACAAAACAAUGGAGCCUAGAGUAAAAGAAUUUGGUCUUGAGCUUGAUUACCCAAGGGAUGAUGGGCUAUCAUUUUUUUAGAUUGAUUACUUAAACAAAAUGCUGUAAUUCUUUGACACAACUCCAUGUCCAAAAUACUCUGUUCAACCCUGUCUGUAUCACCACACUGUUAUACCAAACCCUGUCAGUUACAGCUGGUAUCACACGUAACACUGUCAUACCAAACUCUGUUAGUUAUAACAAGUAUCAGAGGCCUCACUGUCAUACCAAUCCCUGGCUGUUGUCAGUUACAGCAGGUAUCACAAGCAACACUGUCAUACCAAACCCUGUCAGUUACAGCAGGUAUCACAAGCAACACUGUCAUACCAAACUCUGUCAGAUACAGCAGGUAUCACAAGCCUCGCUGUCAUACCAAACCCUGUCAGUUACAGCAGGUGUCACAUGCAACACUGUCAUACCAAACCCUGUCAGUCACAGCAAGUGUCACAAGCAUCACUGUCAUACCAAACCCUGUCAGUUACAGCAGGUGUCACAAUCAUCACUGUCAUACCAAACCCUGUCAGUUACAGUAGGUGUCACAAGCAUCACUGUCAUACAAAACCCUGUCUGUUACAGCAGGUGUCACAAUCAUCACUGUCAUACCAAACCCUGUCAGUUACAGUAGGUGUCACAAGCAUCACUGUCAUACCAAACCCUGGCCAGUUACAGUAGGUGUCACAAGCAUCACCGUCAUACCAAACCCUGGCCAGUUACAGCAGGUGUCACAUGCAACACUGUCAUACCAACCCCUGUCAGUUACAGCAGGUGUCACAUGCAACACUGUCAUACCAAACCCUGUCAGUUACAGCAGGUGUCACAAGCAACACCGUGUAUAUAUUCAUAUAUAUUGAUUUAAAAGUUGCAGUUGUGUAAUAAUUGUUUGUAUAAUAAUGUACAAUGUAUAUAUAUAUCUUAGCAAAAUGAUAUACAUGUCAGAUGUGUAGCCUUUAUUGUAUUGUGAAAUUAACAUAACAAUAAUUUGCAGUAAUUUUUACUUCAUUAGAUAGUUGCCCUAUAUCCAUUGCCUAUGUAGACCUAUGCCUAUGUAGACCAUUGUCUGAUGCAUGUCCAGGUUGUUCUUUCAAUGAUAUAUGUUUACGUCUCACCAACUACAUUUAAAUUUCAUAUUAGAUUUAAGUAGGAAAUGGUAAACUAAUAUCAAUCAAUGCAUAUAUUUUUAAGUUUAUUGUAAUUCUUUACAUGUAUAUCUGAAUGAUAUGAGGCUGUAAUCAUAAUUAGAUAUCCGUUCAAUAAAGAUAUGUAA